AGUGGAUUAGUGGCGACGGGUGAGUAACACGUGGGCAAUCUGCCCUUCACUCUGGGACAAGCCCUGCUAAACGGGGUCUAAUACCGGAUAAUACUUUCCCUCUCAUGGGGGAAGGUUAAAAGCUCCGGCGGUGAAGGAUGAGCCCGCGGCCUAUCAGCUAGUUGGUGGGGUAAUGGCCUACCAAGGCGACGACGGGUAGCCGGCCUGAGAGGGCGACCGGCCACACUGGGACUGAGACACGGCCCAGACUCCUACGGGAGGCAGCAGUGGGGAAUAUUGCACAAUGGGCGAAAGCCUGAUGCAGCGACGCCGCGUGAGGGAUGACGGCCUUCGGGUUGUAAACCUCUUUCAGCAGGGAAGAAGCGAAAGUGACGGUACCUGCAGAAGAAGCGCCGGCUAACUACGUGCCAGCAGCCGCGGUAAUACGUAGGGCGCAAGCGUUGUCCGGAAUUAUUGGGCGUAAAGAGCUCGUAGGCGGCUUGUUGCGUCGGUUGUGAAAGCCCGGGGCUUAACCCCGGGUCUGCAGUCGAUACGGGCAGGCUAGAGUGUGGUAGGGGAGAUCGGAAUUCCUGGUGUAGCGGUGAAAUGCGCAGAUAUCAGGAGGAACACCGGUGGCGAAGGCGGAUCUCUGGGCCAUUACUGACGCUGAGGAGCGAAAGCGUGGGGAGCGAACAGGAUUAGAUACCCUGGUAGUCCACGCCGUAAACGUUGGGAACUAGGUGUUGGCGACAUUCCACGUCGUCGGUGCCGCAGCUAACGCAUUAAGUUCCCCGCCUGGGGGAGUACGGCCGCAAGGCUAAAACUCAAAGGGAAUUGACGGGGGCUCGCACAAGCC
rnacentral:rRNA from 1 species